rnacentral:rRNA from 1 species
GACGAACGCUGGCGGCGUGCUUAACACAUGCAAGUCGAACGGAAAGGCCCUGCUUUUGUGGGGUGCUCGAGUGGCGAACGGGUGAGUAACACGUGAGUAACCUGCCCUUGACUUUGGGAUAACUUCAGGAAACUGGGGCUAAUACCGGAUAGGAGCUCCUGCUGCAUGGUGGGGGUUGGAAAGUUUCGGCGGUUGGGGAUGGACUCGCGACUUAUCAGCUUGUUGGUGGGGUAGUGGCUUACCAAGGCUUUGACGGGUAGCCGGCCUGAGAGGGUGACCGGCCACAUUGGGACUGAGAUACGGCCCAGACUCCUACGGGAGGCAGCAGUGGGGGAUAUUGCACAAUGGGCGGAAGCCUGAUGCAGCAACGCCGCGUGCGGGAUGACGGCCUUCGGGUUGUAAACCGCUUUCGCCUGUGACGAAGCGUGAGUGACGGUAAUGGGUAAAGAAGCACCGGCUAACUACGUG